GGUGUUACGUCGUCUAUCCGCGCGUAUAAGGAGAACGGUGGUUAGUCAAGGGAGUUGUAGGUGCGGCCCAUAUGUGACGACCACCACCGUCUAGUUCAAUGACGGUGGCACACUACGGGAAACCGGUUCGUAUAGAGGUGGUCGUGGUCCAGUUCCGACAAGAAUCUCGUAGGUUGGGGGAUGUUCGACACUGAUCACACUUGUGUUUGGUCCUUAUGUCGUAUUCCUUCCUGUUUACAAAAGUUCAACUCUACUUUCAAGUACUGUGCCUUGAACUGGCUAUACCACAACAGGUGUUGCGACAGAUGUCAAUAAUGUAAGUUUUGCCAGUACUGUUCGAUAAACUUUCGGAACCUUAGUCACAUCUGCGCUAUUGUAGGUUUCCGUUACGCGAGCGAGAAAGUCUUCAUGUUGAUUUCAUGUAACGUGGAAAUUCCAAAACGGUCUCACCACUGUCCAAACAGUAGUUCCACUUCGAGCUCGUUUAGUUUCCACAUUCUCACUAGAAACGCGUUUGUUAACUCUGUGACGGGCUAGUAUUCGGGCAUGACCUUCGGUUUCCUUGGCAACAAACGGAGCUGUUUCUGAUAGCAGGUUGAGCGUAUAAGGGUCUAUAUAGUUGUUUUUAAGACGUCAAGAAGAGUAGGUUCCUGCUGAUUUCGUAGCUUUCCUUAACGGUGAUAAGAAUUAUUCUGGAUUACAUACACUAGAGGACCUCAUGUUGCAACGUUAACUAGUUGUUAUAACUAGCGGUUAAGUGACACCAAAGGAGUGUCGUGGUAUAGAGUGAUUUUUGUAAACAUAAAAUGUCACGGCGAACUUACGAACUCGACUAGAAUUUUACGAAAUGUAGAGACAAUCGUUCACGUUGAACCUGUCUUCAUCAAAAUAAAGAAAAAAGUUCACCACCAUUCUGAUGUGUCUAGUCUACGUUUGUUAACUCGUUUUUUAAUGUCUUACACGUAUUACGUGUUAUCAAAUGAAGGUUUCCUAUAGUGUUGUUUUUAUUGAGUAAGUGGACCUCACACCGACUACAACGUUACGACGGGAGGAACUUAGGUGAUGAUGUGAAACCAGUUACAUGUCUUGAUUUAAUACGACCAUGCUGGGUUUUUACAGAGACGGCACCAUAUCGAAUUGGGUAGCGCACGAAAUCACUUAGUGGUCGUGGUCGGACCUUCUUGUCCGUGCUUUCCCGCUUCAGACGUUACUUUUAAGGUUGGUUCCUUUACUGGUGACGUCUGCAACACCUGAGCGGUUGCGGGAACCGAGGAGGCACCCAACAGUGUGGGGUACGUGUCGAGUGGUGGCGUUAUUACCGUGGCUUGUGGACACUAAAAUAGUUCCGCGACUAGUUCAGGGUACCAGCGUCGCGGAACGCACGACUGAGGUCUUACUACGACCACGAAUGUGGUUUCUGCCGCAGCCGGUUCUUGCGGCUCCUCCGCUCGGGCUCCCGCUUCGACUACUCCCAAUCCUGUCCCUCGCGUUCGUGCGUUCGCUCCUGGGCCCCUUGGUGCUCCAUUAGCUACCCGACACUCGGCUCCUGCGCCUCCCACAGGCAGACGAGCCUGUGGACGUACCACGGCUCGAGCCGCCGUUUCCGCCUCGGUUGAGCCGGCCGUCGCUGCUGCCGCCACUGCUGGCCCCACUCGAGCGCCCGCUCGCGCUCCCGUUCCUGCGGUGGUUGCCUCGCCACCUCUGGCUCCGCCCACUUGAGCGCGUGCUUGACCUACCACUUCCGGUACGGCUGCUUCCGCCGCCACUCCUCGCUCUGGGGGCGCGAGGGCCCCGGGUGCGCUGCCUCGACCCGCUCCUCCAACGCCGCCACCUGCGCAGGGCACUCCUGCGCCACCUUCUGGACGGGACGCUCCUCGUCGCGGCUCUCGGGGGCGGUCUAGCGCGCGCCGCCUCUGGUCAACCGCUUUUCUCUUCCGCCCCCGCACCUCCUGCCUCCGCCUCUUCCUCCUCUUCCGCGACUUAACGACGGCCGCCACCGCCCCCCGCACUCCCUCUCCGCCUCCUGCCCCUCCGCCGCCGCACCGCUCACCUCCGCCUCCUCCACCCUAAACCCCGUCCCCGACCGUUUCGCCUCCUCUACCAAGCAGCACCUCCUCCACCCCGCCUCCUCCUCCCGCCGGGGACGGCACCACCUGCUGUACCACAGCCACCACCACCGCCACCGGCCUCUAGCCCUGUCACCAGCAGCGCCACCGGCACACCCUCACCCACCCUUCGCUACCCCUUGCCGGCAUAGCCGCCCCUCCUUCCUCAGAGACCACCC
rnacentral:rRNA from 1 species